rnacentral:rRNA from 1 species
AGAGUUUGAUCAUGGCUCAGGAUGAACGCUAGCUACAGGCUUAACACAUGCAAGUCGAGGGGAAACGACAUCGAAAGCUUGCUUUUGAUGGGCGUCGACCGGCGCACGGGUGAGUAACGCGUAUCCAACCUGCCCACCACUUGGGGAUAACCUUGCGAAAGUAAGACUAAUACCCAAUGACGUCUCUAGAAGACAUCUGAAAGAGAUUAAAGAUUUAUCGGUGAUGGAUGGGGAUGCGUCUGAUUAGCUUGUUGGCGGGGUAACGGCCCACCAAGGGCGACGACCAGUAGGGGUUCUGAGAGGAAGGUCCCCCANAUUGGAACUGAGACACGGUCCAAACUCCUACGGGAGGCA